rnacentral:misc_RNA from 1 species
GCGAUCUUGGCCGGUGAUCAGCUGCAUGGUCCAAUGGUGCAGCUCGGCAGUCACCGCAUCCAAACAAGAAUACUUUUGAGUGGCGGCCUGACUCUUCAGAUCCAUCACUAUUAAACUUUCCUCCUGACUCAGGGUAAUGUGCCUCGGAAGCAAGGGCCCCUGGUACCACCAGCUACGAGGAAAGUCCUCAAAGCAGCUCGGAUCUUUACUCCUCAGAAUGAAGAACCGGUUCUUCCAAUUCUUCAAUGAAGAAGGGAGAUCGGUAAAAAGAGAACAGUUAGGCUUAGCUUAAAAGAACCAGAACUCAUCAUCCUUCCUUCGGACGAGCCUAUGUAGUUCGGCAAAAACUUUAGCCGUGGGUUCCAGUCCCUUAGCUCGGCAGAGGCCCCGAAAAGCUAUUAGAGUCCGCUAGGAAUUCGAAUGCACUUGAGCUACCGACACGUGUUGAAACUUUAGGACGGCCUUGUAAAAUUCGUCAAAAGGGAAACGGAGCCCGGCCUUCAGCUGCUCUUCAUACAUCAUUAUGAGAUCGCUCUCAUCGAAGAAGUGAUCAGCCCGAUGAUCGCCAUGGCAUUUGAUCAGUUCAAAGGAGCCGAUCCGCAGAUUGUACUUCUGACUUAUAGGUUGAAGAUCGGUUUCCCUCAAGACCGAAGGCAAUUCAUCCACUGGCAGGUUUUCUCUUCUGGAAGAUGCCCCUCGCCUCGGUCUAGCAGCCGGACCAGUUACCGGAACGAGGGCCGUGCUGGCUUGACCACCUGAUCUAAUUACAUCGCCCUCUUCCGAGGUCCACGAAACAUGGACAGAAGGCGGGUUCGCAGCUCUCUGACCCUCGGCGCCGCUC